CACUUGAUGACGAUGUGUUAGGAGCUUUAAAAAAAUAAUAAUACUAGUAGCUACCGUUAGCUAAACAACGAACGUUAACUUCGUUGAAAAUGGCAGCACAUCUCAAAAAAAGCACCUGUCAGACACAUAUUUCAGCGUGAGGAAUAAAUGCCUGCAACUCCUGAGUUGCCUGUGAAAUGUGGACACGCCCCUAAAUAAAGACGGACAGGUAUUGGUUCCAGCUAUGAUUGGGGGCGGUGCUUCAGGUGUGUAUAUUUAUUUGCGUUAACCAGGGUAGUUGAGUCAACAACAAAGAAUAUUCACUACAUUACAUGUUUAUACUUAAUUUAACCAGACUAGUCCCCUCAUCACAUCACCAUGUCUGUGAGAGGUGUGUGGGAUGUGCACAAGUAGUGCGUUUUCCUUACAUUUAAACCUCGUAACAAAUUCCCUGUUUUAGGUCAGUUAGUAUUACCGCUGUAUUUUAAGAAUGUGAAUGUGAAAUGUCAGAAUAAUAGUAGAGAGUGAUUUAUUUCAGCUUUUAUUUCUUUCAUCACAUUCCCAGUGGGUCAGAAGUUUACAUGCACUCAAUUAGUAUUUGGUAGCAUUGCCUUUAAAAUGUUUAACUUGGGUCAAAUGUUUUCGGCUAGCCUUCCACAAGCUUCCCAUAAUAACUCGGAUGAAUUUUGGCCCAUUCCUCCUGACCGAGCUGGUGUAACUGAGUCAGGUUUGUAGGCCUCCUUGCUCGCACACACUUUUUCAGUUCUGCCCACAAAUGUUCUAUAGGGCAAGCCAUUUUGCCACAAAUUUGGAAGUAUGCUUGGGGUCAUUGUCCACUUGGAAGACCCAUUUGCAACCAAGCUUUAACUUCCUGACUGAUGUCUUGAGAUGUUGCUUCAAUAUAUCCACACAAUUUUGCUCCCUCAUGAUGCCAUAUAUUUUCUGAAGUGCACCAGUCCCUCCUGCAGCAAAGCACCCCCACAACAUGAUGCUGCCACCCCCGUGCUUCACGGUUGGGAUGGCGUUCUUCGGCUUGCAAGCCUCCCCCUUUUUCCUCCAAACAUAACAAUGGUCAUUAUGGCCAAACAGUUCUAUUUUUGUUUCAUCAGACCAAAAGACAUUGCUCCAGACCAAAAGACAUGGCUUUUUUAUGGUGGUUUUGGAGCAUUGGCUGCUUCCUUGCUGAGUGGCCUUGCAGUUUAUGUUGAUAUAGGACUUGUUUUACUGUGGAUAUAGAUACUUUUGUACCGGUAUCCUCCAGCAUCUUCACAAGGUCCUUUGCUGUUGUUCUGGGAUUGAUUCGCACUUUUCGCACCAAAGUACGUUCAUCUCUAGGAGACAGAAAGCGUCUCCUUCCUGAGCGGUAUGACGGCUGUGUGGUCCCUUGGUGUUUAUAAUUGCGUACUAUUGUUUGUAGAGAUGAACAGAUUUCUCCCAAGGAUGAACCAGACUUGUGGAGGUCUACAAUUUAUUUUCUGGGUUCUUGGCUGAUUUCUUUUGAUUUUCCCAUUAUGUCAAGCAUAGAGGCACUGAGUUUGAAGGUAGGCCUUGAAAUACAUCCACAGGUAUACCUCCAAUUGGCUCAAAUUAUGUAAAUUAGCCUAUCAGAAGCAUCUAAAGCCAUGACAUAAUGUUCUAGAAUUGUCCAGGCUGUUUAAAGGCACAGUCAACUUAGUGUAUGUAAACUUCUGACCCACUGGAAUUGUGAUACAGUGAAAUAAUCUGUCUGUAAACAAUUGCUGGGAAAAUUACUUGUGUUAUGCACAAAGUAGAUAAGAGCACCAAAUCCAUGAUGCAUUGUGGGUAAAUUGUGACUGACAGGCUGAUCUACAAAUAAUAAUGAGUGCUUAUUUGUGAUGUAAGUCAAUUUGUAGAUCAGUCAGUCAGCAGUCGCCUGAAAUGUUGGCUGCAAUGUCAGACCAGCCCAACACUCCACACUGAACACAAACUCACUGAUGAAAACAGCUGUGCGAUGGUGACUAAAGGUGUCAUCUGCCUAUCCCGUCGUCCAAUGAGCAAGUCCGCCUGGUCGUCGACUCGUUUGGGAAGAUCAGUCACGUGGUCUCUGAUGGAUCCUGGGUAGUCAGGGUGCAGGCCGCCAAAACACUGAGUAACAUGUUGCAAGUCAGUCCUCACUUCCUUAAGCAGACUCUGGACAAGAAACUGAUGUCAGACCUCAGGGCGUAUCAGAUCGAAGUGAGGCUGCUGCUGGCCUGCAGCUCAUCUUGUCUCUAAGACAGCGUGGAGCGACAGCAGCAUUGAAGGCCUC